rnacentral:tRNA from 1 species
UAUUAGAUGACUGAAGCAAGUAAUGGUCUCUUAAACCAAAAUAUAGUAAAUCGACUACUCUUAAUGA